rnacentral:rRNA from 1 species
UACGGGGGGGGCAAGCGUUACUCGGAAUUACUGGGCGUAAAGCGUGCGUAGGUGGUUCGUUAAGUCUUAUGUGAAAGCCCUGGGCUCAACCUGGGAAUGGCAUUGGAUACUGGCGACCUAGAGUGCGGUAGAGGGUGGCGGAAUUCCCGGUGUAGCAGUGAAAUGCGUAGAUAUCGGGAGGAACAUCCGUGGCGAAGGCGGCCACCUGGACCAGCACUGACACUGAGGCACGAAAGCGUGGGGAGCAAACAGG